rnacentral:rRNA from 1 species
GACGAACGCUGGCGGCGUGCUUAACACAUGCAAGUCGAACGGUGAAGCGCCUUCCUUUUUGGUGGGUGUGGAUGAGUGGCGAACGGGUGAGUAACACGUGAGUAACCUGCCCCCUUCUUCUGGAUAACCGCAUGAAAGUGUGGCUAAUACGGGAUAUUCUGGGUCUGUCGCAUGAUGGGUCUGGGAAAGAUAUUGUUUCGGUGGGGGAUGGGCUCGCGGCCUAUCAGCUUGUUGGUGGGGUGAUGGCCUACCAAGGCGGUGACGGGUAGCCGGCCUGAGAGGGUGGACGGUCCCACUGGGACUGAGGCCCGGCCCAGACUCCUACGGGAGGCAGCAGUGGGGAAUAUUGCACAAUGGGCGCAAGCCUGAUGCAGCGGCGCCGCGUGAGGGAUGGAGGCCUUCGGGUUGUGAACCUCUUUCGCCAGUGAAGCAGGCCUGCCUCGUUUGUGGGUGGGUUGACGGUAGCUGGAUAAGAAGCGCCGGCUAACUACGUG